AGUGAACGCUGGCGGCAGGCCUAACACAUGCAAGUCGAGCGGCAGCGCGGGGGCAACCCUGGCGGCGAGCGGCGGACGGGUGAGGAAUUCGUCGGAAUCUGCCUCUUUGUGGGGGAUAACGUAUGGAAACUUACGCUAAUACCGCAUACGUCCUACGGGAGAAAGUGGGGGACCGCAAGGCCUCACGCAGAAAGAUGAGCCGACGACCGAUUAGCUAGUUGGUGGGGUAAAGGCCCACCAAGGCGACGAUCGGUAGCUGGUCUGAGAGGAGGAUCAGCCACACUGGGACGGAGACACGGCCCAGACUCCUACGGGAGGCAGCAGUGGGGAAUGUUGGACAAUGGGCGCAAGCCUGAUCCAGCCAUGCCGCGUGUGUGAAGAAGGCCUUCGGGUUGUAAAGCACUUUUGUCCGGAAAGAAAUCCCUGGAGCUAAUACCUUCGGGGGAUGACGGUAACGGAAGAAUAAGCACCGGCUAACUUCGUG
rnacentral:rRNA from 1 species